AAGUCGUAACAAGGUUUCCGUAGGUGAACCUGCGGAAGGAUCAUUAUCACGUAUUAAUCCACGUUAUAAACCCCUUCUUUGAACGGUAGCUGGAUGUGUUCUCCCCUCGGGGAGGCAAUUCUAUUACUCGCAUUUAUGUUUUUUUAGUUUUUUUUAGUUGGCAUGCCAAUUAAAAGAGAUUAAAAGAAUGUAAUAUAAAGCGGUGACCGUCAUCAUUCGAAUUCUCUGGGAUGUAAUUCAAAUCUUACAUUAUUAUUGAUUAAACAAUACUUGAACCCCUUUUGAUAAAUUGAACUUAUAGAUCGUUACCCCACCUCAAAAAUGGGGACUGAUCAAACUACGAAACAAAAGAACAACUCUUAGCAACGGAUAUCUUGGUUCUC
rnacentral:misc_RNA from 1 species